rnacentral:rRNA from 1 species
AUUGAACGCUGGCGGCAGGCCUAACACAUGCAAGUCGAGCGGAUGAAGGGAGCUUGCUCCUGGAUUCAGCGGCGGACGGGUGAGUAAUGCCUAGGAAUCUGCCUGGUAGUGGGGGAUAACGUCCGGAAACGGGCGCUAAUACCGCAUACGUCCUGAGGGAGAAAGUGGGGGAUCUUCGGACCUCACGCUAUCAGAUGAGCCUAGGUCGGAUUAGCUAGUUGGUGGGGUAAAGGCCUACCAAGGCGACGAUCCGUAACUGGUCUGAGAGGAUGAUCAGUCACACUGGAACUGAGACACGGUCCAGACUCCUACGGGAGGCAGCAGUGGGGAAUAUUGGACAAUGGGCGAAAGCCUGAUCCAGCCAUGCCGCGUGUGUGAAGAGGGUCUUCGGAUUGUAAAGCACUUUAAGUUGGGAGGAAUGGCAGUAAGUUAAUACCUUGCUGUUUUGACGUUACCAACAGAAUAAGCACCGGCUAACUUCGUG